GUGAAAACAAGCGGCAGGAUGGCAACAGCCAGGUGCGGCUCUGCCCAGCUCGGAGCAGCCCCCCCAGCGCUCAGCCCCCCUCCUUUCAGCACGGGGAGCUCGGGGCAGGGGGCACUGCCCCACGUCCCCCCCGCGGGUCACCAUUUGCGCAGAGCUCUCCGUGGUGCGCUGCCAGGCCACUUCCCUUCCUCCCACAACCCUCCCCCCAGCAAGCCACCCUCUGUCCUCCCAAACUUGCUCAGAACAACAAAAAAAAAUCCCCCUUUUACCCCUAAAAAAAGCCACUUCCCGAUUUCCCCCCGCUGCACGCAGCUUCCCAUCCCAGCACCGCUCCCGGCUGCGGGGCGCACCUGGCCGGGGAUUUUUUGGAGACGGCCGCGGCUUUGCUUCGAACACCGAGCGACCCACGCGGAGCAGCCCCUGGGUGCAAAACCACCGCGAAGGCAGCCCCCAGAGCCCUCCCCAGGGGUGAGCAAGAAAUCGCCAAAAGUUUCGGGGACCGAGAACCGACAGCCCCGGUUGUUCGCGCCCCCCUCCCGGCGCUGCUCUCCGGUUACAGCCACUCACCGGCGGCGCAGAAGAAAUAACGAGGGAGGGAUAUUAAUAACAGCAGUCCUCAGCCAGGGACAGAAACCAAAUUCCUCGCCGGGCUCGCAGCAAAGAGGGGAAGCCCGAGCACGCCCAUGGGCAGGUUUGGGGCAGCCGAAGGCACCGCAGCACACGGUGCUUGGCUGGGGCCGCCUGCUAAAGGGGAAUGCUGAUUUUAGCCAAAAAAAUAAUAAUGUUUGGGGCUUGCAAGCAGCACCUUACCUGGGUGCAAGGCCCUCGGCUGGAGGGGACGCAGCGCGGUCGCCAUCUCAGGGAGCUGCAGCCGGGCUCAGCCCCAAAAUGCAGCGCUGCAAACGGGGCAAUGCCUCCGCUGGCAGGCGUUUGGAAAGGGGUCAGCUCCUCGCAGGGCUUUUUUCCCCUCCUUUGCAUUCAUUUUUCAGAAAGGGACACGGCUUUGGUUGUGUUUCAGACAGGAGGCGCCGAGGGAGUUUGCAGGGGGGGUUAAAUCCAAGCAGCGUUUAGCAAGAGGUGCCACGAGCCUUGCGCAGCUGGGUUUGGUUCUUGCCAUGUCGCAAAC
rnacentral:lncRNA from 1 species